rnacentral:tRNA from 1 species
GGGGAUGUAGCUCAGUGGUAGAGCACUUGCCUAGCAUGCACUGAGGCUCUGGAUUCCAUCCUCA